UGCACCUGCGGAGGAUGAAGCAGCAGCCAGGCUUAAAGCCUACCGGGUUUUGCAGGUAACCGGCUUCUGUUCAGUCCAGUAAUGUAAGCAUAGCUUACUUCAAAGCUGUU
rnacentral:sRNA from 1 species